GAUGAAGAACGCAGCGAAAUGCGAUAAGUAAUGCGAAUUGCAGAAUUUCCGUGAGUCAUCGAAUCUUUGAACGCACAUUGCGCCCACUGGUAUUCCGGUGGGCAUGCCUGUUCGAGCGUCAUUAUCCUCCCUCAAACCCCGGGUUUGGUGUUGGACCGAAGUUGUGUGAACAACUGUUCUAAAAGACAAUGACGGCGUCCGUGGGACCCUCGGUGCAACGAGCUUUUAGGAGCACGCGCCGAGUUGCAAGGACCUUCCGGGCCGGUCUCCUUUUACUAUUUUACAAGGUUGACCUCGGAUCAGGUAGGAAUACCCGCUGAACUUAAGCAUAUCAAUAAGCGGAGGA
rnacentral:misc_RNA from 1 species